GAUGAACGCUGGCGGCGUGCCUAAUACAUGCAAGUCGAGCGGACGGACGAGACGCUUGCUUCUCUGAUGUUAGCGGCGGACGGGUGAGUCACGCGUGUAUCACCUCCCUAUCAGACUGGUAUCACUUCGAGACACCGUAGAUAAUACCGGAUAAUAUUUUGAACCGCAUGGUUCAAUAGUGAGAGACGGUCUUGCUGUCACUUCUCGCUGCAUCUGCGCUGCAUUAGCUGGUUGGUAAGGUAACGGCUUACCAAGGCAACGAUGCGUAGCCGACCUGAGAGGGUGAUCGGCCACACGGGAGCGGAGACACGGUCCAGACUCCUACGGGAGGCAGCAGUAGGGAAUCUUCCGCAAUGGGCGAAAGCCUGACGGAGCAACGCGGCGUGAGUGAUGAAGGUCUUCGGAUCGUAAAACUCUGUUAUUAGGGAAGAACAGAUGUGGAAGUAACUGUGCACAGCGUGACGGUACCGAAUCAGAAAGCAACGGCUAACUACGUG
rnacentral:rRNA from 1 species